rnacentral:lncRNA from 1 species
GUGCGCCAAAGCUGGGCUGCUGCUUCAUUUUAUAUCAGCCACACAAGAGAUGGUUGCGGCAGCGGCUCGGGACUUCUAAAGUCUGUAAUACUUCCUGUUCUGCCUUGGACUCACUGACGUUACUAAUCACUAAUCCCGUGUGUCAUCUAUCGUCAUGGUGUCUGAAGAGCUUAUCAUGCUUUAUUCAUGGCUUCUCAGCACUCUUUACCCUUAAAGCAUCAAUAGCAUCCUUGUGGAUGAAUGCCACAAUGCAGGAAAAUCAUCUACCACAGCAGGCGUUCCACAGGAGCAGUGUUGAUGACCUACUAAGCUGCUUCCUGCUCUGUUUUGUUGGUGUGGGGGAUGGAACGGGGUCUUGGUGACUUUAAGCAAGAGCUCUACUACUGAACUACAUCCUAGCCUUAUCUCAAACUUGUUAGCCUGUCAGCAUUGAGAAGAGGCCAACGACAUCUGGCUGAGGAACCUGGGUUCCAGAUGGCCAUCCUGUGCAAAUCAGUUUCCAUCGGCUGUAUCCUUUGGCAAGCUAUCGAAUAAAACAACGUUUUCCCUUUAAAGGAAAUGGAGA